rnacentral:rRNA from 1 species
AGGGUUUGAUCAUGGCUCAGGAUGAACGCUAGCGGCAGGCUUAACACAUGCAAGUCGAGGGGUAACAGGGAUUGCUUGCAAUCCGCUGACGACCGGCGCACGGGUGCGUAACGCGUAUGCAACCUACCUUUUACAAGGGGAUAGCCCAGAGAAAUUUGGAAUAAUACCCUAUACGAUCAUUAAUUGGCAUCAAUUAAUGAAGAAAACUCCGGUGGUAAAAGAUGGGCAUGCGUCCUAUUAGUUAGUUGGUAAGGUAACGGCUUACCAAGACUUCGAUAGGUAGGGGUCCUGAGAGGGAGAUCCCCCACACUGGUACUGAGACACGGACCAGACUCCUACGGGAGGCAGCAGUGAGGAAUAUUGGACAAUGGAGGCAACUCUGAUCCAGCCAUGCCGCGUGCAGGAAGACGGCCCUACGGGUUGUAAACUGCUUUUAUACAGGAAGAACUAUAUCUACGUGUAGAUAUUUGACGGUACUGUACGAAUAAGGAUCGGCUAACUCCGUGCCAGCAGCCGCGGUAAUUCA